UAGAAUCAUAGAGUUGGAAGAGACCACAAGGGCCAUCGAUGGCCCUUGUAGUCUCUUCCAACUCUAUGAUUCUA